rnacentral:rRNA from 1 species
AUUGAACGCUGGCGGCAGGCCUAACACAUGCAAGUCGAGCGGAUGAAGGGAGCUUGCUCCUGGAUUCAGCGGCGGACGGGUGAGUAAUGCCUAGGAAUCUGCCUGGUAGUGGGGGAUAACGUCCGGAAACGGGCGCUAAUACCGCAUACGUCCUGAGGGAGAAAGUGGGGGAUCUUCGGACCUCACGCUAUCAGAUGAGCCUAGGUCGGAUUAGCUAGUUGGUGGGGUAAAGGCCUACCAAGGCGACGAUCCGUAACUGGUCUGAGAGGAUGAUCAGUCACACGGGAAAUGAGCACAGGGCCAGAUACAGACGGGAGGGAGCAGGGGGGAAUUUUGAAAAAUGGGGGAAAGCCUGAACCAGCCAUGCGGGGGGGGUGAAGAAGGUCUUCGGAUUGUAAAGCACUUUAAGUUGGGGGGAAGGGAAGUAAGUUAAAACCUGGCUGUUUGGACGUUACCAACAGAAAAAGCACCGGCAAACUGGGU